GCUGAUGUAGUGCAGAGGUAUAGCAUCUCCCUCUCCCAUGACAACAAGCAUAGUCUUGUACAUCGGGAAAUAGGGGAAGACCUGGGUUCGAAUCCCAGCAUCAGCA
rfam:Exophiala spinifera strain CBS 89968 unplaced genomic scaffold supercont1.2, whole genome shotgun sequence.